UGCCUUAAAAGGCAGCAAGCUGCUGCCUUAAUAUCGCUGCCUUUUAAGGCAGCCAGCUGCUGCCUUAUAUUAAGGCAGCAGCUUGCUGCCUUUUAAGGCA
rnacentral:miRNA from 1 species